AUGGUGCCGGAGCUCGGCCUGCCUGCCCUGCGGGGGCUUGGCAAGGGGGGGUUAACUGGGAAAACUCGGCCCUCCUGGAAAACACAAAAGCCCGGAGAGUGGGGUAUGUCAUAUGGGGGGCGCGGGUGGCACCAACACAACCCACGACCGCGUUACGUGGUGCCACCCCCCGAGCCCCGUUUCCACAGGCGCGGGGGCAGCUCCGCCACCGCCGAUCUCCUCAGCCCAUCAGCGGCGAAGGCGAGGGGGGGGGCGCGGGUGAAGGGGCCUCUGCGCCGGGCGGCGGCCGGAGCGGGCCGGGCCGGGCCAGGCGGGGCGAGGCGGCUGGCGGGGAGUCAGAGGCCGCGGCUGUGUGGGCGGGACGCCGCCUCGCCCCGGCCCGGCCUUGCGGCAGCCCCGAAACGCAAACGACCCCCCCUCCCCCCCCAGCUCCGCAGUCAGGGAGGGGCGGGGGAAGGAGAAGGCGCGCGCCCGCGGGCGGGGCCGCCACCUCUAGGCGUGUCCCGCCGGCCCGCGCGCCGCCGGCGCCCGCGGCUGUUGGCGAGGCCUCCACCCUGUGGCGCGCCGGGGGAGGCGCGGGCUCGUGCUCGCGCCCUCGCCGUUGCCAUGGCCCCGCUUGACGUCACGGGCGGUGCGCUGCCCGUGCGCUGCGGCGCGGUGAUUGGCGGAGACGCCGUGUGUGGCGCUGGGAGAGAGGCUGCAGCGCAGCGAGCCGCGAGACAGGCACAGUCCGCGCCGGCCACCCGCCCCGAGACACCCGCCGCCGCGCUCCCGCCGCGCACAGGUAACGGGGCCCGCCGCGCCGCCCCGCCUCCGGGCCCCGCGCCGGGCGGCCGCCCCGGGACCUCGCCCUCCGCCCCCGGGGGGGUGGGGUGGGGUGGGGGGGCCGCGCGAGGGCGGCCGGCCGGCCGGCCGAUCGGGCGGCCGGCGGGCAGCGCCGAGCCCUCCCUACCCGCCCCCCUGCCUCCGGGGCCGGCGGGGUGGCUCCGCGGGGAGGGAGCAGGGCGGCGGGAGCGGCCCGUCCCGCGGGGGCCGCUGCGGGGGGCGGCGGGGGCCGCGCAGGUGAGGCCGCGGCUGCCCCUCCCCGCCGGCGAGGAGGGGAGGGGGAGGGGAAGAGCGGCCGGGGGCGGCGGGGCGGGGGGAGGGGGCGGCAGGUGA
rnacentral:lncRNA from 1 species